UAAGUAAGCUUUGAUCCAGAGAUUUCCGAAUGGGGAAACCCAGCAUGAGUUAUGUCAUGUUAUCGAUAUGUGAAUACAUAGCAUAUCAGAAGGCACACCCGGAGAACUGAAACAUCUUAGUACCCGGAGGAAGAGAAAGAAAAUUCGAUUCCCUUAGUAGCGGCGAGCGAAACGGGAAGAGCCCAAACCAACAAGCUUGCUUGUUGGGGUUGUAGGACACUCUAUACGGAGUUACAAAGGACGACAUUAGACGAAUCAUCUGGAAAGAUGAAUCAAAGAAGGUAAUAAUCCUGUAGUCGAAAAUGUUGUCUCUCUUGAGUGGAUCCUGAGUACGACGGAGCACGUGAAAUUCCGUCGGAAUCUGGGAGGACCAUCUCCUAAGGCUAAAUACUCUCUAGUGACCGAUAGUGAACCAGUACCGUGAGGGAAAGGUGAAAAGCACCCCGGAAGGGGAGUGAAAUAGAACCUGAAACCGUGUGCUUACAAGUAGUCAGAGCCCGUUAAUGGGUGAUGGCGUGCCUUUUGUAGAAUGAACCGGCGAGUUACGAUUUGAUGCAAGGUUAAGCAGUAAAUGUGGAGCCGUAGCGAAAGCGAGUCUGAAUAGGGCGUUUAGUAUUUGGUCGUAGACCCGAAACCAGGUGAUCUACCCUUGGUCAGGUUGAAGUUCAGGUAACACUGAAUGGAGGACCGAACCGACUUACGUUGAAAAGUGAGCGGAUGAACUGAGGGUAGCGGAGAAAUUCCAAUCGAACCUGGAGAUAGCUGGUUCUCUCCGAAAUAGCUUUAGGGCUAGCCUCAAGUGAUGAUUAUUGGAGGUAGAGCACUGUUUGGACGAGGGGCCCCUCUCGGGUUACCGAAUUCAGACAAACUCCGAAUGCCAAUUAAUUUAACUUGGGAGUCAGAACAUGGGUGAUAAGGUCCGUGUUCGAAAGGGAAACAGCCCAGACCACCAGCUAAGGUCCCAAAAUAUAUGUUAAGUGGAAAAGGAUGUGGCGUUGCCCAGACAACUAGGAUGUUGGCUUAGAAGCAGCCAUCAUUUAAAGAGUGCGUAAUAGCUCACUAGUCGAGUGACACUGCGCCGAAAAUGUACCGGGGCUAAACAUAUUACC
rnacentral:rRNA from 1 species